rnacentral:rRNA from 1 species
UACGUAGGUGGCAAGCGUUGUCCGGAUUUACUGGGCGUAAAGAGCGCGCAGGCGGUCGUUCAAGUCGCGUGUGAAAGCCCCCGGCUCAACUGGGGAGGGUCACGCGAUACUGAUCGACUGGAAGGCAGGAGAGGGUAGUGGAAUUCCCGGUGUAGCGGUGAAAUGCGCAGAUAUCAGGAGGAACACCGGUGGCGAAGGCGGAUCUCUGGGCCUUGCCUGACGCUGAGGCGCGAAAGCUAGGGGAGCGAACAGG